rnacentral:rRNA from 1 species
AUGACCCGGAUAUCGUGCCUCGACCUUGCCGGAUUGAUAGGGGGCGGCCAGAGCGUGCCACGACCCGCCGUCCGUCUUGUCCUUCGAACCGGCAGGGCCUCGAGCCGUUUUCACCAUCACGGACGCGCUUCCGAGGCGUCGGCCCUGAUUCGCCACCUCGGGCCGGCCCUACCCCGCCGCCGGGUCACAUCCUCAAAUCGCCCCGCUGACCCGCCGGCUGGUGCAGUCGCCACGCGCCUUCACCAAGCGCCUGCGCUCGCAUCCGAACCACCCCUGCGACCUGCAAUGCCGCACCUUGGAUUCGCCUCCUCCGUCGCCGUAAGUCACCACGGCCGAGAGGCCCCGCAGCCCCCGCUUCGUCGCUGCCUCGCGCAGAUGUGA